rnacentral:rRNA from 1 species
CACGGGGGGAGCAAGCGUUGUUCGGAAUCACUGGGCGUAAAGGGUGCGUAGGCGGGUCUUUUAAGUCAGGGGUGAAAUCCUGGAGCUCAACUCCAGAACUGCCUUUGAUACUGAAGAUCUUGAGUUCGGGAGAGGUGAGUGGAACUGCGAGUGUAGAGGUGAAAUUCGUAGAUAUUCGCAAGAACACCAGUGGCGAAGGCGGCUCACUGGCCCGAUACUGACGCUGAGGCACGAAAGCGUGGGGAGCAAACAGG